UGCAUUGGUCAGAGCGUCUUGUCGAUGUCGGCAGCUAAGCAGGAUCGGGCCUGGUUAGUACUUGAAUGGGAGACCACCUAGGAAGACCAGGUGCUGUAGGCA
rnacentral:rRNA from 1 species